rnacentral:rRNA from 1 species
GACGAACGCUGGCGGCGUGCUUAACACAUGCAAGUCGAACGGAAAGGCCCGGCUUUUGUGGGGUGCUCGAGUGGCGAACGGGUGAGUAACACGUGAGUAACCUGCCCUUGACUUUGGGAUAACUUCAGGAAACUGGGGCUCAUACCGGAUAGGAGCUCUUGCUGCAUGGUGGGGGUUGGUAAGUUUCGGUGGUUGGGGAUGGACUCGCGGCGUAUCAGCUUGUUGGGGGGGUAGUGGCUUACCAAGGCUUUGACGGGUAGCCUGCCUGCGAGGGGGACCGGCCACAUUGGGACUGAGAUGCGGCCCAGACUCGUACGGGAGGCAACAGUGGAGAAUAUUACACAGUAGGCGGAAGCCUGAUGCAGCAACGCCGCGUGCGGGAUGACGGCCUUCGGGUUGUAAACCGCUUUCGCCUGUGACGAAGCGUGAGUGACGGUAAUGGGUAAAGAAGCACCGGCUAACUACGUG